rnacentral:lncRNA from 1 species
AAAGAACCUCCUCCCCCAGCCCCCGGGUCUGUAUCUAAGACAAAUAGCUGAUAUAGGCUAUUCAUCAUUUAUAACAUCUAACCAUCUCAUGAUUACUAGCGACCGAUUCAUUGAGAUUUUAAUGGAUUCUUCUAAAUUCACUAAAAUAUAGGUGUCCUCAAUAGCUUGUGGAUUAUAAAGAUUUCAUUAAUGAAAGGAUUUCAAGAGAUUUGGAUGGAUUUCAAGCUUAGAAGUACACAUAACGAACUCUUUUGAAAUUUCACUAUUUUUAAUGAGAUUAUUGUGAAUUCUGUAAAAAUCGGUUCAAAUUCACAAAAUUCAUCACUAUUUACAAUUUUUUUUUAUUUAAAAUAUAUUAAAAUACUAAUUGAGGAAACCCAACUUAACUUUUGGAAAUUCUUUUAACAGCUUGAAAUGGAGGAUGGGGAUGAGAUAGAUGCUAUGCUGCAUCAGACUGGAGGUGCUGCUGCUGCUUAGUUAGGGUGAUUAAGUCUUUGUUAACGCCUUGGAGGAAGUUGUAAUACAAAAUUUCAUAAUCAUUCUAGCUUGCUGUUACUAUUGACAUGAUUUUGAACGUGUUCCAAGUACUUGAUCUACAACUAUAUUUAAGUUGCUUUGAUUUUCAUUUCCUUCCGAAAAAGUAUGUACUGUUUACUCUCUGAUUCUCGUGGUGAUAUUGGGACAUAAAAAAGAGGGAUGGAGUUUCUUUCUUGUUCCAUGUAAUGGUCUAUAUGGGAGGUUGCACGAAAUGCAAUUAAAAGCCCUUGUUUGAACCACAAUAUUUUCAUGAGUAUGCAUUUUUGAAGAAUGUAUUGAUGGAAAGUGUGUGGUUAAAAAAUAAGAAAAAAUGUUGAAUUUGCG